GCCUAGGUGGCUCAGUUGGUUAAGCAUCCGACUUUGGCUCAGGUCAUGAUCUUGCAGUCUCUGGGUUCAAGCCCCAGGUUGGGCU
rnacentral:tRNA from 1 species